CAACUUUUGACAAUGGAUCUCUUGGUUCUCGCAACGAUGAAGAACGCAGCAAAAUGCGAUAAGUAGUGUGAAUUGCAGAACACGUGAAUCAUCGAAUCUUCGAACGCAUAUUGCACA
rnacentral:rRNA from 1 species